GGGGGUAGAUGAGUCCUGGUGGGCUCCCUGGACUUCAAAUCCUGUGACGGGCAGCGGUCCUGUCCGUGGUGGGUUCGAUUCCCACAUACUCCCGCCA
rnacentral:tRNA from 1 species